GUGGUAUGAUUGCCAAUGAGACAACUAUCCACAAAAGACCAAAAUGACACAGACAUUAACAACUAUAGGUCACCGUACGGCCUUCAACAAUGAGCAAAGCCCAUUCCGCAUAGUCAGCUAUAAAAAGCCCCGAUAAGACAAUGUAAAACAAUUCAAACGAGAAAACUAACGGCCUUUUUUAUGUAAAAAAAUGAACGAAAAACAAAUAUGUAACACAUAAACAAACGAC
rnacentral:lncRNA from 1 species